AGACCCGAAACCCGGUGAUCUAGCCAUGGGCAGGUUGAAGGUUGGGUAACACUAACUGGAGGACCGAACCGACUAAUGUUGAAAAAUUAGCGGAUGACCUGUGGCUGGGGGUGAAAGGCCAAUCAAACCGGGAGAUAGCUGGUUCUCCCCGAAAGCUAUUUAGGUAGCGCCUCGUGAAUUCAUCUCCGGGGGUAGAGCACUGUUUCGGCUAGGGGGCCAUCCCGGCUUACCAACCCGAUGCAAACUGCGAAUACCGGAGAAUGUUAUCACGGGAGACACACGGCGGGUGCUAACGUCCGUCGUGAAGAGGGAAACAACCCAGACCGCCAGCUAAGGUCCCAAAGUCAUGGUUAAGUGGGAAACGAUGUGGGAAGGCCCAGACAGCCAGGAUGUUGGCUUAGAAGCAGCCAUCAUUUAAAGAAAGCGUAAUAGCUCACUGGUCGAGUCGGCCUGCGCGGAAGAUGUAACGGGGCUAAACCAUGCACCGAAGCUGCGGCAGCGAACGUAUCACCCAAGACAACUUUACGGAGUUGACGAUUGACGGAGCGAAGCGACGUCAAAGCGUUCAUUAAAGUCGAGUUGGCUUAGGGAUACGUUCGUUGGGUAGGGGAGCGUUCUGUAAGCCUGUGAAGGUGUGUCGUGAGGCAUGCUGGAGGUAUCAGAAGUGCGAAUGCUGACAUAAGUAACGAUAAAGCGGGUGAAAAGCCCGCUCGCCGGAAGACCAAGGGUUCCUGUCCAACGUUAAUCGGGGCAGGGUGAGUCGACCCCUAAGGCGAGGCCGAAAGGCGUAGUCGAUGGGAAACGGGUUAAUAUUCCCGUACUUGGUGUUACUGCGAAGGGGGGACGGAGAAGGCUAUGUUGGCCGGGCGACGGUUGUCCCGGUUUAAGCGUGUAGGUGUGUGUUCCAGGUAAAUCCGGUUCACUUUAACACUGAGGCGUGACGACGAGGCACUACGGUGCUGAAGCAACAAAUGCCCUGCUUCCAGGAAAAGCCUCUAAGCAUCAGGUAACAUCAAAUCGUACCCCAAACCGACACAGGUGGUCAGGUAGAGAAUACCAAGGCGCUUGAGAGAACUCGGGUGAAGGAACUAGGCAAAAUGGUGCCGUAACUUCGGGAGAAGGCACGCUGACACGUAGGUGAAGUGAUUUACUCAUGGAGCUGAAGUCAGUCGAAGAUACCAGCUGGCUGCAACUGUUUAUUAAAAACACAGCACUGUGCAAACACGAAAGUGGACGUAUACGGUGUGACGCCUGCCCGGUGCCGGAAGGUUAAUUGAUGGGGUCAGCGCAAGCGAAGCUCCUGAUCGAAGCCCCGGUAAACGGCGGCCGUAACUAUAACGGUCCUAAGGUAGCGAAAUUCCUUGUCGGGUAAGUUCCGACCUGCACGAAUGGCGUAAUGAUGGCCAGGCUGUCUCCACCCGAGACUCAGUGAAAUUGAACUCGCUGUGAAGAUGCAGUGUACCCGCGGCAAGACGGAAAGACCCCGUGAACCUUUACUAUAGCUUGACACUGAACAUUGAGCCUUGAUGUGUAGGAUAGGUGGGAGGCUUUGAAGUGUGGACGCCAGUCUGCAUGGAGCCGACCUUGAAAUACCACCCUUUAAUGUUUGAUGUUCUAACGUGGACCCGUAAUCCGGGUUGCGGACAGUGUCUGGUGGGUAGUUUGACUGGGGCGGUCUCCUCCUAAAGAGUAACGGAGGAGCACGAAGGUUGGCUAAUCCUGGUCGGACAUCAGGAGGUUAGUGCAAUGGCAUAAGCCAGCUUGACUGCGAGCGUGACGGCGCGAGCAGGUGCGAAAGCAGGUCAUAGUGAUCCGGUGGUUCUGAAUGGAAGGGCCAUCGCUCAACGGAUAAAAGGUACUCCGGGGAUAACAGGCUGA
rnacentral:rRNA from 1 species